UCCCCCGGUUUCUUCCUUUUCUUUUUGACCCAAUAUCAGAUUUCAACAAAUUAUUAAAAAAAUCCCCUUGAUUUUGGGUCCUAAGCCUCCACCUGAUCUCCUUGGUUUCGACGAUCAGAAAAUUCUUCUUGUUUUUAUAAUUUUGUUGUCGUUGUUGUCGUCAAAGAUAAAGAAUUGGGAGUUUUGACUCCUUCUUUUCGAUUUGCUUCUGUAAAGGGCGUAAGGCGGUUCUUCUUUUGAAGCAAUUCAGCUAUGCAGAGCCAGCUUCAGUGUAGUGGCUGUAGGAACAUUCUUCUUUAUCCAAGAGGAGCAGCAAAUGUCUGUUGUGCAUUAUGUAAUGCAAUUACCUCUGCUCCUCCUCCUCCUCCUCCUCUAGGGAUGGAAAUGGCACAACUUAUUUGUUUAGGUUGUCGGACAUGGUUGAUGUAUUCACGUGGUGCAACAAGUGUGAGAUGCUCCUGUUGUCACACUACAAACCCUGCACCAGUAUCUAGCCAAGUUGCUCACAUCAAUUGUGGGAACUGCCGGACAACACUCAUGUAUCCAUAUGGAGCUCCAUCUGUCAAAUGUGCUAUCUGCCAAUAUGUUUCUAAUGUUAGUAUGGCUAAUGUGAGGGUUCCACUUCCUGCUAAUCGACCUAAUGGUGCUACCGGAAUGAUACCAUCUACUUCAACAUCAACACCCCAUUCUCAGACUCAAACUGUUGUUGUGGAAAACCCCAUGUCUGUUGAUGAAAGUGGAAAUCUGGUGAGCAAUGUUGUUGUUGGUGUAACAACAGAACGAAAAUAGUGCGGUUAUUAUGAGAUCCUAUUGUUCAUAUGGCGGCAAACAGUCAUUAUGGAAGUUGAUUGUGUAUAUUUUGUUGGAGAUAACUAAGAUUAACAUUGAUUUGUUAAACUAUUGCACAUAUAUAAGCUCUCAGGGAAAUUUAAGGUGUGGUGUACAUUGUGAGGAUGAGACUUGAUUGCCAGACUGAACUAUUAUUGUGAGUGAUUGUGCUUAUCUGAACAUACCCAUUUUCUAACAAAAAUAAAGCUUUGGAGCAAAGUUAAGGUGAGUU
rnacentral:misc_RNA from 1 species